rnacentral:rRNA from 1 species
GUGUCUGGUGGGUAGUUUGACUGGGGCGGUCUCCUCCUAAAGAGUAACGGAGGAGCACGAAGGUUGGCUAAUCCUGGUCGGACAUCAGGAGGUUAGUGCAAUGGCAUAAGCCAGCUUGACUGCGAGCGUGACGGCGCGAGCAGGUGCGAAAGCAGGUCAUAGUGAUCCGGUGGUUCUGAAUGGAAGGGCCAUCGCUCAACGGAUAAAAGGUACUCCGGGGAUAACAGGCUGAUACCGCCCAAGAGUUCAUAUCGACGGCGGUGUUUGGCACCUCGAUGUCGGCUCAUCACAUCCUGGGGCUGAAGUAGGUCCCAAGGGUAUGGCUGUUCGCCAUUUAAAGUGGUACGCGAGCUGGGUUUAGAACGUCGUGAGACAGUUCGGUCCCUAUCUGCCGUGGGCGCUGGAGAACUGAGGGGGGCUGCUCCUAGUACGAGAGGACCGGAGUGGACGCAUCACUGGUGUUCGGGUUGUCAUGCCAAUGGCACUGCCCGGUAGCUAAAUGCGGAAGAGAUAAGUGCUGAAAGCAUCUAAGCACGAAACUUGCCCCGAGAUGAGUUCUCCCUGAGACUUAGAGUCUCCUGAAGGAACGUUGAAGACGACGACGUUGAUAGGCCGGGUGUGUAAGCGCAGCGAUGCGUUGAGCUAACCGGUACUAAUGAACCGUGAGGCUUAACCUUACAACGCCGAAGCUGUU